GCGCAUGCGUCAGGACUCCGCAUCCCUGAGCUCCUGGGAAACUCUGUAAACAAAUUGGCUUUGCUACACUCGUUCCAAAGUGUUCAUUGUCAGCAACUCGCUUACUGCAAUACUAUGAAAUCCUUCUGAAUGCACUAGCUUAACACACAUAUAACUUUGGUGCUCUUGAAGAUGUAGUGAGAAUCUCCAUAGAUUCAGGGAAGAAGCACAAUUAUCAAGGCUCCAGAACUUCCUUGGAGAGGUCGGCUGAGGAGGGAUCCGGGGGGACUCACACCCAGGUUUAAAGCUUCUAACGGAGGGGAAGCUGCCAUCCACGUCCACCCACAUCUGCCGGGCUCCGCCCGACUCCACGG